CAUUUUCUAACUUUGUUAAAUAUAGUGGGAACACUUCUUCGUUUUCAAAGCCAAAAACAUUGAUUGAAAUAUUGUUUUGUUUCUCAAAUUUCUCCAUUUUUGUUAAAGACACAGGAUAUUCAAUAUCGUUCAUGUUCAAUUCAUUUUCGUGUGCCGUAUAAUGUGACUUCCGAUAUGGAUUAUAUUCCAUCGGAUGUAGGGCUGCCAGUACAGACCAUAGGAAACACUUUUGGUCAUCAUUUCUAAUGUUGAUAAUUCCACCAGUGGCCUUAAUUUUGUAUGGUAAUUCCAUAUAAUUUGAACCAGCUAUGGGUGAGUAUGGUAAAGUAUGUACUUCGAGGCAUAUAACUUUAUUCAAUAUCCAGUUAGAUCCCUUGUUGAUAAAUUCUUCCAUUACUCUGUUAAUCGUUUGGAAAGCUUCAUUUAAAUUAUGAUCAUUACUCUCAUUCUGAAGAGAUAUGUAACUUUUGCUGCGGAAAUGUGGGUGAGCCUUUUCUUGUUGUCCAUCAUCAAUAUCUCGAACCAUCUCCACUCGAGCAUUUACAUACCAUUUGACAUUUUUUUGUUUCUUUUGCUGAGAUACUAUUAUUUCUUCAACAUCAGUUUUCGUAUUAGCCAAAAAACGUAAUAAAUCAUAUUUUUCAUCACCAAUAGGCAUAAGGUCUACACGAUUCACUGAUUUGUUAAUGGCGCUUUUCUUAAAACGAAACCGUUUACGUUUUAUCUGACUGACAACUGGCUCCUCCGUUUUAGGCAUUCUACCUCCUGUUUGGUUUAACGGAUGAUGGUUGGCAACAUGGGUGAAUAAAGAAUCAACAUCAUCAAAGGAGACAUCACAGCGUCUACAUAAAAAUGCUACCCAAUGUCUUCCUGGUAAGCCUGCGACAUCUGUAUUGGCUAUCACACCCAUUCCUGGUAGUAGGUGAACUUGAGACAGUUCAUCAGAUGAGAAUACACCAAGAACAGAUCGUUGUAAGUCAACGUCUGAAACAAUGGCACACUUGAGCUGGAACAUAAUGCGGAACUUCGAAAAUGUUUGACCAGUUUCCCAUAGAGGCUGCACUUAACCUUCGAAGAAGUGGCUUUUGUUCUCCAUCGACAAUAGAUUCACCACAAAUAUUAGAAUACAGAACCUGAAUCCACAGAUAC